AUGUGUGCGUAUUCUAGCGCUCACGUCAAAUUUAUUUUUUCUUAAAUCUUACUUUCAAAUCCACCUUCAUUAAUUUUUACAAAUUUUAUUCGUUUUAAUUAUUUUAUUAUUAUUGUAACUCACCUUUACUUAAACAUAAACUACACCUUGACCUGACAUUUUUCUGUGCAGAAUUUUGGAUAUAGUUUUUCAACAUUUCCUGAUGACGGCGGUAUAUAAACCUGAAUUUAAGUUAGUUAAAAUGGGGAUUAUCAAUUAAAAGACAAGUUCCUCUGAAAAGAUAAAAUACCGCCAAAUUCUUUAAGUUUAUA
rnacentral:rRNA from 1 species